rnacentral:rRNA from 1 species
CCUACGGGGGGCAGCAGUGAGGAAUAUUGGUCAAUGGGCUUACGCCUGAACCAGCAACGUCGCGUGAGGGAAGACUGCCCUACGGGUUGUAAACUUCUUUUAUAAAGGAAUAAAGUGAGGCACGUGAGCCUUUUUGUAUGUACUUUAUGAAUAAGGAUCGGCUAACUCCGUGCCAGCAGCCGCGGUAAUACGGAGGAUCCGAGCGUUAUCCGGAUUUAUUGGGUUUAAAGGGAGCGUAGAUGGGUUGUUAAGUCAGGUGUGAAAGUUUGCGGCUCAACCGUAAAAUUGCAAUUGAUACUGGCAGACUUGAGUACAGUUGAGGUAGGCGGAAUUCGUGGUGUAGCGGUGAAAUGCUUAGAUAUCACGAAGAACUCCGAUUGCGAAGGCAGCUUACUAAACUGCCACUGACAUUGAUGCUCGAAAGUGUGGGUAUCAAACAGGAUUAGAUACCCCAGUAGUC